GAGUUUGAUCAUGGCUCAGGAUGAACGCUGGCGGCGUGCCUAAUACAUGCAAGUCGAGCGAACGGACGAGAAGCUUGCUUCUCUGAUGUUAGCGGCGGACGGGUGAGUAACUCGUGAAUAACCUACCUAUAAGACUGGGAUAACUUCGGGAAACCGAGCUAAAUACCGGAUAAUAUUUUGAACCGCAUGGUUCAAAAGUGAAAGACGGUCUUGCUGUCACUUAUAGAUGGAUCCGCGCUGCAUUAGCUAGUUGGUAAGGUAACGGCUUACCAAGGCAACGAUGCAUAGCCGACCUGAGAGGGUGAUCGGCCACACUGGAACUGAGACACGGUCCAGACUCCUACGGGAGGCAGCAGUAGGGAAUCUUCCGCAAUGGGCGAAAGCCCGACGGAGCAACGCCGCGUGAGUGAUGAA
rnacentral:rRNA from 1 species